GGGGAUAUGGCGGAAUUGGUAGACGCUACGGACUUAAAUCCGUCGGUUUUUUUAGACCUUGAGGGUUCAAGUCCCUCUAUUCCCA
rnacentral:tRNA from 1 species